GAGAGAAUCAUCUUCUAAGUGCCGAGGAGGUACCGCUGCCCUGAGGUGGUCCUAAAGAUUCACUUGUUUAUCCUGCCUCCCAAAUGCUGGCUGUGAUCAGUCCUAAAGGAGCAUGCUUCACUCCUGAAGCCUCUGGUCCAUCCAGGACUUUUAAAUUCCAAUUCCUGCCCACCUUCCUCAAUCCCUAGUUAACAAGCGUCUCCACAUUUGUUUAAGUAAGGGGGCCAGCCCUUCACAAGGCACACACAUGAGUGCUUCUUUGCCCAGUAGGUGCCAAACUUCCCCUGGCCUUCUGCCUUCUUGUUCUAACCGUCAACUGGCCUCCCCUGUUCUAUUGCACCCAUUUUCUAGAUGAGGAAACUGAGGCUCUACAGGUCCCAGGACAUGCUAGGAAGGAAGUGGCUAGAGGAGGCUUGAGUCCAGGCCUGCCUGAUCCCAACACCCAUGCUCUUCUCCCUGCAAGAACAAACCAGUGAGGGAAGAGAUGGGGGUUGACCAGGUAUCAGGGAAGGUGGCCUGGGGGCUUCCUUACGUUAUGAGCAAAGGGACAGUGGUGACUGCCCUGGACUCACAGCUGCUUCUGCAGGACGGGGCAUACCCUGGAUCCUCAGUAGCUGGUGUAGAACUUCUAGCCUGGUACCCCGUGUGUGGAAGAGAAAUAAAGGAAGCUGAGGCACUGUUCCUCGGUGGCUUGAAGUGGACUCUGGUGGCUAAGGACCAGAAGUUGGAUCUGUGCCAAACUAAGAACAAAAGUAGCCAAGGGCCCACAGUCUCCUGCCUCAGCAGCUGCAGCUUCCUGUAGAACAGUUUGCUUUUUAGCGUGCUCUUUCCCUGGGAGAAGCCCAGGGUAGCUCUCCCUAUUUUGACCAAUGGACAACUAAGGCCUUGAGAGGUCCACUUAGUUAUUGCAGAGUUAAAUCAGGACACAGAUUUCUAGCUCCCAGCCCAGACCAACUUGUACCUAUGAAUGGGCUUCGGGUAAAAGAGGGGUGGGGUUGAAAGGGCAGAGCUCCAUCCCAUCCCACAGUUCCUGCAGAAGAGGAGACACCCCUGCCCUGCCCUGCCCUGCCC
rnacentral:lncRNA from 1 species